GCAAAAUCCCAGCACUCAACCUUCCUCCACAACUUUUUCCAACAUUGAAAAAGCAGAAAGUGAACAAAAAGGAAACUGGAAUCUGGAUCUUGGAAACUCAUUACUUACCCUUAAACCUGCCAGUUCAGUACCCUACAGAAUAAGAGGAUUGCCCAGGAUGGCCUAAUGCAGCUACACUGACUGAGAACCUGCUGGAGAACGGUCAGGCUUUUUUUCCAUCACUGGAAAAAUCUGGAUGGUGAGCGACCAAACACGACUUCCAAAGGCUUCCCCUCUCACACUAGGCCUCAAGCCUCAAGCC